UGAGCGGGGGACAACAUUUGGAAACGAAUGCUAAUACCGCAUAACAACUUUAAACACAAGUUUUAAGUUUGAAAGAUGCAAUUCGCAUCACUCAAAGAUGAUCCCGCGUUGUAUUAGCUAGUUGGUGAGGUAAAGGCUCACCAAGGCGAUGAUACAUAGCCGACCUGAGAGGGUGAUCGGCCACAUUGGGACUGAGACACGGCCCAAACUCCUACGGGAGGCAGCAGUAGGGAAUCUUCGGCAAUGGACGAAAGUCUGACCGAGCAACGCCGCGUGAGUGAAGAAGGUUUUCGGAUCGUAAAACUCUGUUGGUAGAGAAGAACGUUGGUGAGAGUGGAAAGCUCAUCAAGUGACGGUAACUACCCAGAAAGGGACGGCUAACUACGUGCCAGCAGCCGCGGUAAUACGUAGGUCCCGAGCGUUGUCCGGAUUUAUUGGGCGUAAAGCGAGCGCAGGUGGUUUAUUAAGUCUGGUGUAAAAGGCAGUGGCUCAACCAUUGUAUGCAUUGGAAACUGGUAGACUUGAGUGCAGGAGAGGAGAGUGGAAUUCCAUGUGUAGCGGUGAAAUGCGUAGAUAUAUGGAGGAACACCGGUGGCGAAAGCGGCUCUCUGGCCUGUAACUGACACUGAGGCUCGAAAGCGUGGGGAGCAAACAGGAUUAGAUACCCUGGUAGUCCACGCCGUAAACGAUGAGUGCUAGAUGUAGGGAGCUAUAAGUUCUCUGUAUCGCAGCUAACGCAAUA
rnacentral:rRNA from 1 species